rnacentral:tRNA from 2 species
GUAGAGCAGAGGACUGAAAAUCCUC